rnacentral:misc_RNA from 1 species
UUUUUUUUUUUUUUGCUUCUUUUUAUUCCUCUAUUAGACAAGACAAUAUCCUCUCAAACCAAAUGAACCAAUGAAGAAUUGCCAAAAGCACACUCCAACAGACAAUUUUCUUAUUUACGGCCAUUUACUCAACAACACUUCCAAAUUGUAAUUAUCUGAAAAUCAUACUUCUCAAAAUAUAUAGAAUAAGAUAUGCAUAUUGCCAUUAGCAUUAGGGAUCAAAGUCAAAUUUAGUAGUUAUCAUAGUUUCCACCAGAAAUAAGUAGCUUUCAUCUUCCAAUUUCCGUACUAUCUUAGCCAUUUGAUAAGACAUGAUUCCAUAUUGUCUUCAAGGACUUCACAUUCUGCUUUUCAGGAAUAGUAUGGUGUAAGAAUAUGCUAUUAGUGACUGGCAAUUACAAUGUAUCACCUUCCAAACUUCAGUCAGAAAGCAGUCAUUUUAUGCAUUAUAUAUAUCCUACAUGUUGGACAGUCCAUGCUGCUUUAGGAAUCAGAAAAUGUCAAGAUGGUGGAAAAAGAUCAUAAUACAGCCAUCAAUCCAUCAUAAAAUUUAGUUGUACUGUGCAACCAUUGAAUAUUAUAAAUGUGCAAAGCGAAGUGAAUGUCAGGCACCAAGAAAAUACUAUAAAUAUAGCAGGAUCUUGAUGGUAAGAUUAUUGUGAUUUUAAGGUGUCAAGAGUCAAAAACAAUGAUAGGAUACCAAUCUGGUGUUCGUGAAGUUGCAUGAAAAGACAACAACCAAACUGCCAAUUCAUAAGACAAGUUACUGAAAUGAAUGUGAUGACACAGCAGAAAAAAGAAACAGUCCAUCUCUGUUAAAUGAUGCCCAAAGAACAUGAAUGUAUAAGAUUCCACAAUAGAAAGUCUACAACUAAACUAAGCCAAAACACAACCAAAUCAGGGCUAUUUCAACCACACUAAUUGCAUGUAUAUAAUAUUAUAAAGUAUGUGUUGAGAUUGUAGCUCAUAUCAGAGAAGGUAGUGCAUACUAAAAGCUCCAAGCACCCCUCCUUCUGAAAACUUGAAGAAGAAUAUUCUUUUGUUUGGCCCACCAGUAGACAGGUGGGAGUGCAGACCUAGCCAUGGGCCUGUUCCAGUUUGCAACCACCCCAGAACUGGAGGUUCCGGUUCACCAGGGGUAUGAACCAAACUGGUCCUCACAUGGUUCCGGUUCUGGUUUAACCCGAUUUGAUCUGGUUUUGUUCAAAUCCAACAGUCCACAUUUUUUCAAAUUUUAUAUUUUUUAAAAUGAUAAAAAAAAAUCCAGUUUUGGCCAGUCUGGUUCAGUCACAGUUCAAGUUAACCAUAUCCAGCUCAGACCUGGCCCCUGGCUGGGUCUAUGGGAGUAUGCCCUCACUAUCUAGUUACACUAGUCUCAUUAGCCUAGGGCACUUCUAAUUAUGGGGUUAUUGUUGUAAUUUUGAGUUUCUCCUACUAUAUAAAAAAGCAUUUGUAACCUUAUCCUUCAUAGUGAAAAAGUUGCAGGUGGAUCUUAUAGACAUAAGCCCAUUGCCAAAACACAAAAUUACUUUGUCUUAUUUUUCUCUCUUUCUGCAUUUGUUAUCCUAAUCUCUGCAUAUGUGUGUAUUAUUUGGGUUAUUUUUAACAGUAUGUACACUGGUAUGUACAACAGGUGUUAAACUAAUAACUUUUACACCAAUCAACAGAUUAUCAUGUUAUCAAAGUUUUGCAAAACAAAAUGCACUAUUGAUACAAAUUAUCAAUACCAUCUUUGAGCUCUAUUACUGAAUUUUACCUUAUAUUAUUGAUAAGCACAAACAUAAACAUAUCAAUAUCUAAUCAACUUGAGAUUUGGCUUACUGUACUUCAGAUAUAUAGAUGUUAUAUCCAAUUGGUGCAUAACAUAAAAAGAAAUCAAAAAAUAAAAAGAAAGAAAACCAAUAAUCUGGAUUAACUUAGUUAUAAAUCACUAAAAAUACAAUCUAACAUUAAAAGAGCCAUAAGAACGCUAAUAAAUUCAUAAUAAAAUAAAACAUAGCCCUAAUAACUAAGCGAAAUAAUCAAAAAUACCUUAAAUAAACAAAAUACUUACAGUAGAGUUUACAGCCAUACUUGAUAAAGCUAAAAGUUUUGGCUAAAAUUGGAAAAACAGAUAAAAUUCAAGAUAUAUUUUAUCAUAUGGCCUACAUACUAGGGGCGAGCAUUCGGUUCGAACCGAAUUAAAUUAUAAAAACUGAAUUUUAAAUUUUAGAAACCGA